CUGCAAGCUCGAGAGUACAUUUCUUG
rnacentral:piRNA from 1 species